rnacentral:rRNA from 1 species
UACAGAGGUCCCAAGCGUUGUUCGGAUUCACUGGGCGUAAAGGGUGCGUAGGCGGUCGGGUAAGUCUGAUGUGAAAUCUCACAGCUUAACUGUGAAACUGCAUUGGAUACUAUUCGGCUUGAGAGUUGGAGGGGGGACUGGAAUUCUUGGUGUAGCAGUGAAAUGCGUAGAUAUCAAGAGGAACACCAGUGGCGAAGGCGAGUCCCUGGACAACUUCUGACGCUGAGGCACGAAAGCUGGGGGAGCAAACAGG